UACGUAGGGGGCAAGCGUUGUCCGGAAUCAUUGGGCGUAAAGAGCGUGUAGGCGGCUCGGUAAGUCCGCUGUGAAAGUCCAGGGCUCAACCCUGGAAUGCCGGUGGAAACUGUCGAGCUAGAGUCCGGAAGAGGCGAGUGGAAUUCCUGGUGUAGCGGUGAAAUGCGCAGAUAUCAGGAGGAACACCAAUGGCGAAGGCAGCUCGCUGGGACGGUACUGACGCUGAGGUACGAAAGCGUGGGGAGCGAACAGG
rnacentral:rRNA from 1 species